rnacentral:rRNA from 1 species
UACGAAGGGGGCUAGCGUUGCUUGGAAUCACUGGGCGUAAAGCGCACGUAGGCGGCUUUCUAAGUCAGGGGUGAAAUCCUGGAGCUCAACUCCAGAACUGCCUUUGAUACUGGAAAGCUUGAGUUCGGGAGAGGUGAGUGGAACUGCGAGUGUAGAGGUGAAAUUCGUAGAUAUUCGCAAGAUCACCAGUGGCGAAGGCGGCUCACUGGCCCGAUACUGACGCUGAGGUGCGAAAGCGUGGGGAGCAAACAGG